CGUAACGUUCUCAAUACGGGGCGUUGAAUUUGGCUGUGCUCCUGGUAUGACAGACCGGUUUUGGGAACACAAGCGUUGAGUUGUGUCGACGCCAAGUCGAAGCACUGGUUCAACAUUGACGCCAGACACGUUGUCCUGUCAAGCACACCCAAUGCUGCCCAACCGGUUUAUCACAAGAUACGACGUGAACACCACCAUGAAGCCCCGACGUCCUUUGAACUUUCAAGAAAUGGUUGGGUUUGGUCAAGGGACUGGUAUUGGAUCUGAUAUAUUAUCAUUGUUGUCUCACCUUUUCGCUAAAUAUGAGGUCUUGAAAAUGCUUGGUAUUGCUC